rnacentral:rRNA from 1 species
UGGGGAAUAUUGCACAAUGGGCGAAAGCCUGAUGCAGCGACGCCGCGUGAGGGAUGACGGCCUUCGGGUUGUAAACCUCUUUCAGUAGGGACGAAGCGCAAGUGACGGUACCUGCAGAAGAAGCACCGGCUAACUACGUGCCAGCAGCCGCGGUAAUACGUAGGGUGCGAGCGUUGUCCGGAAUUACUGGGCGUAAAGAGCUCGUAGGCGGUUUGUCACGUCGUCUGUGAAAUCCUAGGGCUUAACCCUGGACGUGCAGGCGAUCCGGGCUGCCUUGAGUACUACAGGGGAGACUGGAAUUUCUGGUGUAGCGGUGGAAUGCACAGAUAUCAGGAAGAACACCGAUGGCGAAGGCAGGUCUCUGGGUAGUAACUGACGCUGAGGAGCGAAAGCAUGGGUAGCGAACAGG